ACUUCCAGGCCAGUUGGAGGGAGGCCAGAGAACAGUGGGCUAGUGAACAAGCCUCCUAAAUAAGGUGGCAGCCAGCAAACCAUCUACUGGGUAUACUGUCUGGCACACUCCUUUUGCCAGACCAGACCCAAAAAUUGUUCAGAGCAUCAGUUGCAAUGGGCCAUGCUCAUGCCAGUGAGAUGAAAUCCAUCAGCACUUUUGCCUUCAUCCAAUCUGCUUGGGAUAGCUGGAGCAGUGUCUCAGGCAGUGGCAAUGACUGAAGAAAAGGCUUUAAGACAGAGAGGAGAGGAGAAAAACCUACCUAGGAUCUGGCACUUUCCGCUUCCAAUUCAGGCUGCCCUCAGGUAGCUCACAGCAGUCCUGGACCUGCUGAGCCUAGAAGGGAAAGUGAGGCAUGCAGAGGUGCUGGCAAUAGGGACAAGGAACAUAACCUCUUUUAAGAGACUCAGAGAAAGGGGAACGUGAGCAAGCCUGAGACCUCAAAGCAGCACCUUACACAUCUGUCUUCUUCCACAUUUAUUUCUAAACAUUGUCCUUGAGCUGAGCUCACCCCUCAGAGAGGGAAUUGGCUGAGGUAAGUGUGAACUGAAGUGCCCAUGCUACAGCUGGGGCUCUACCACUUGUUUCCCCCUGCAGUUUAUCUACGCACUCACUGCUUUGCCACUUACUGUUGCUGCACCAUUUACAGUUCAGGAUAUCUCCAUCACUCUCCUAGCUUAUAAGCUCAGGAAAGCAGUUGCUGUGCUGCCAGGACUCGAUUUGCUUGCCUUUAUCUACCACUAUUUCCAAUUCAGCUGGCAUGAAUGAAUGAAGAGAAACACCACAAUACUCCUAAGUCACUGAUGCCCUCCUUUCCUGCCGGAGAUCACUGUACAUCUUGAGGUGACAGAAGACAUUUUGGCAUCUGAAACAGACUCAUAUUCAUCUGUAUUUCAGCCUGACACGACACCAGUGAAAUCACAGCUCAGACUGCAAGGUUUGAGUUUGUUGGCUUGCUGCUGGCAACAGGAUCAGUGAGUAGUUACCUAACCAUGGGCCAAACGCUGCACUGCUGACUCAGGCACAGAAGGAGGUUUUCAAAGUGCCUGGGGAACUUAAGUUCCAAGUGAAAACAGCACUUGUACCCACAGCCUCACAGCCUCACUCAGAGCUGUCUUUGGCUUCAAUAACAGAUAGGGACAGAAGGACUUGAGUUUUCUGACUCACAUGUCUGUCCUGUCCCAUAGACACUUUAACGCAGGAAAAAGUCAUCCAGAGCCCUAACAUACAACCAAAAGUAGACAAUACUUUAUAACCACAGACUAGUCACUCUGACUCCUGAGCAGCUCUCAAAAGUAACUAUAUUUUGUCUUAACAGAGGUCUCAAGGGAUUGGGAAGGUGUUAUUGAAAGGUAGGCUCCUGGACCACAGACAAAUAUAUAAUAUAUCAAGCUGUGAGAUCCUAACCCAUCUAGGGUUUUAUGAGUCAAAAGGAGAAAAUGAAAAGGAGGGAUCAGCAUGUAUGCUCACAAGUGAGCAUAGCUCUAUUAAAUAAUCACUAGAUACUAUAUCUGUGGACUUAACACAGUUGGAAAAUGACCUACAAGUUGGCCACAAAGUUUCAGAAAAUCUUAAUCCAACAGUUUUAAUAAAUUAAGCUGAAAAUGCUUUCCUUCUUUUCUUUGUGUUAUUUUUUAAGGCAAAAUUUAUGUAUACUUUGAACUACCGUUCAAACUAUGAAUUCAAAGAUGACAAGAGACAGAUGAAAAGCCAAAGAGGUUCGGCCAUGAAAUCAAGUCCUGUAAGGCUACUGAAAAGAACAGGGCUAGAAGGUUGGCUGGUGAAAAGUGCCUUCUUUGAAGGGACUGACUUCUACCUUCUGAGGUAGUUCUCAUUCAAACCCCUCAUCAACUGUUUGGAAUCUUACUGCCAAGAUCAGAAAAAGUUCCUGGGACUAACUGGAACUCAUACGUAGCAUUGAAAAACCAAUCAAAUAAAAGGUAGAGGAAACCUUCUUUGUGUUGUGAAAUGCAGAGAAGCCAGAGGAAAGGAAUCAGAAAUAGCUUUUUGACACCACCACAAAAGAAAGCUGAGACCUCCACUCGUGUGGCAGCUGAAGACUCUAAGACAUGUAAAACAGCUUGUGGCAACAGCCUGAAAGUGUCUUGCAAUAUCGUGUCCUCAUUUUGCCUGGGCAGAUGAUGAAACCACAUAGCACUAACUCGGCAGCUCACAGCAGGCAUUGUGCUACAGCUCCACAGGCUGUCAUUACGUGGGCUGCUGCCUCCUGCCUCUGCUGCCUACAUCCCCAGGGCUGCGUACAGGGCGCAGGAAAGGGUACAAACUUUCAGCUGGUGUAAAAUGGCAGAGCCCCACCAGAUUCCCUGAGACUUCAUUGAUUUACAGCAGCUGAAACUAUGGCCCCUGCUAUGCUUAAAGUCUGAGACAGGCUUUCAUUGGACACAAAAGAAUACGCUUUGGGACGCUUUGAAACCUGUGCUGUGCGCAAGCAAGGAGCUAAACGAUUCCCAAGAUUUUCUGUGAGCCAUGUACAAGCACACACUGUGCACUGAGUGCAAGCAGGCUUCACCAGACACACAGACACAGAAUACGCUCCCUGGGAUGUGCCAGGGUGAAGAAGAGUUUUCUAAGUCACUUCAUUUUUACUGGAAACCCUGCUCCAGUCCUCUCACAUACAACGCCGUGUGCACUCCUCGUAACCAGCAUUGUCUGAACUUGUGGUAUUUUAAUAAACCUUCCUGCCAAGCCAAGGACGCUCUAAGACACAUCACCUUUGUCCAGAGGAGGAUCCCAGCUGCAGCGAAGUCCAGAGAGUGUGAGCUCUGCUACAAACCAACACAUAGGUAUGUUAAAUGAGUUCUAUUAAAAAUAACUGCUCUCCGUACUGCCUGGAGUGGAAGGGGGCACAGGCUGUUUAGAGAGUGCACAUGAGAGUGACAGAUUGCAAUAAAAAAUCCACUAUACACGGAGGAAAAUGAGGCAGUACAAAUGAAUGCCUCUUUUUUUAUUUCAUAGGGACAGGUUGGCAAAAGCAGGUUAUUGGGAUUGGGCUGCAAAGAAGAGAGGAAUUUUCUUUUUUAUUCUGGAAUCACGAUUCAUCUUCAUUAUUCAGUCACUCAAGCUUCCUUGGAAACAGAGUGCCACUGAAUUAUGGCAGUCAUAGAUGAAUUCAGCUGAAAAAUAUAUGUAUAAUAAUGAGAGAGAGUAAAGCUGGUCUUCUUGUGCAGCCCUACCAAGAGACAGCCAGACAAAAGCAUGAAAAAAUUGACUGUCUGGCCAAGAAUGAAAUUGCUGGCAAGUCUGGUUUCAACCCUGCUAUUAGCUUUCUUGCAGCUGCUUCAACUACCCAAGCAGUACUGAGAUAAGUGCAUUGUCUGAAGUCCUUUUUCUUCCUAACUGGGGGCAGUAUAUUCAUUUGCAUAUAGCCUAUUUCUGAUAAAAACCUCAUCUGGGAGAACUCAGGAGCUAACAGUUAGCCACCUUAGACAAAACAAAAUAAAAAUUAAACAAAAUCCAAGGGUUUUGAUUCCAAACAAGGCAGUCUGAAGUGUUCCUGCAUUUCAGGAUGAGCGUCGUGCUUCCUCUGGGGGCAGAGGGCUCUCCAGCUGCAUCGCACAUGGGGCAGCUCUGCAGUGCCAAAGGGGCAGGAUGCAGGUGGCUGCACAGGCUGGGGGAGGCGAUGUGUUCUUGCAAUCUCUCUCCCUUGUGCAACGGAUGGAUGGGCAGAAAAGAGUGGCAGGGGUGGAUCUUUAUCCCUGAUGCUCCUGUCCUGGCACUGCAGCCACCUCCAUGACACAAGGAGCUCUGAGCAUAAAUUCUGUGUGUUUCAGGGGGAGAGGGGGGACUGGGGUAAAGGCUGGCUUGCGUCUUGCCCCUGUCCCAGGAAGAUCACGACUGGGCGCUGAUGGAUCGGGUCAGGAGAGGUCACGCUCAGGGUCUGACCCUCAGGAAUAUAUUUUGGACCUGAUCUAAUGAUAAAGUGUGACACUAUGCCAGCCUUCAGGCUCACUCAGCUCACAGGCAUGCCAUUAAGGUUUCCUCUCUUCAGAGGUGUAAAGCACUUCUGUUGCAAGCCAGUAAAAGAAGGUACUGUCUUAGGGUGGAACAGAAAAGGUUAUGGAACAUUUGCCAAGAAAGUGCCUCUGCUCUUCUCGUUCCAAAACACACCAGGGCUUAAAAAAAAAAAAAAUUGAAAAGUUUCAAAAGGCAUCCAGCGAUUGUUUUUUAGGAAACAAAAGAAGCACUUAUGGGUUAGGUUUUCCAAGUUAACUGCAUUAGUAGAUACACUAAACAGACAGCUUGAUCUGGAUGAGUCACACAGCAGAAGACGAACAAUGACCUGUGUGUUCCUCCAGUAAAAAUCGUUCCUUUUUUUGCUGUCAAUAAAGACUUUUCAAAAUA